UCUUUAAGUAAAAUAAUUUAAAGUAAAACCUGCUCAAUGUUUUAAUCAAUAGCCGCAAAUAUUUUGUGCUAAGGUAGCAUAAUCAUUAGCUUUUUAAUUAAAAGAUAGAAUGAAUGGUAAUAUGAAAUAUUAGCUAUUUCUAAAAUAUACAAUAAAUUUUUUAUAAAAGUAAAAACACUUUUAUUUUUCAGAAAGACGAUAAGACCCUAAUAAACUUCCUAUUUUGCUGGGGUGGCAAAUAAAAUAUCCCUUAACUCACAAAAACAAAUACACUAACACAAUAAAAAAAAUAAAAGUUACUAUAGGGAUAACAGCGCUAUCUUUUUCAAAAGUUCAAAUUAAAAAAAAGAUUUACGACCUCGAUGUUGAAUUAAUAUUCUUUGCUAGAGCAACCACUACAAAAGAUAGUCUGUUCGACUAUUAAAAAAUU
rnacentral:rRNA from 1 species